ensembl:lncRNA
AUUUGAGUGAAUAUGAGUUGUGGGAUUUCAACGGAGAACAAAAAUGGGAAUAUGGACAGAGUGGAAGAGUCAGGAUCUGUUUACUCUCCUAGCAUGAACUUCACGUUAUAACGUUAUCCUGGCGAUAUCAGAGAGAUGCUCAUCAAGGCAAGGUGAUGAUUGCCAGAGGGAAAACAAAGAACCUGUAGUUGUGCAUCACCUGUGUGAUCAUGAUAAGGCUGAAGAACCAGAAGUGACAAGAUAUCACCGGCUGCUGGGGUGCAGCAUUAAACCCAUGGACAGUCUCCUGCCACAAGAUCUUAGGAGCCAGAGCAGAUCCAGACAAUUACUGCCCAUUUGGAGGAAGUCUGAUCUUUCUGCUGUGUUGCACAUCUGUUACAGAUUAAUUGACCUUUUGUGGUAUGUUUUAAUUUUACUUAAAAUACACUGUAUAGUUAGGAUUCUUAAAUGUUAUCAGAACUACCUUAUACAGAGCCCCCAAGGGUUAAGAGAAUGAAGAAGAAGAAGACCACAACUCCCUCAGCUCAACAGCACAAUUUGUUGCUUCCUCCAUCCAUUUCAAAGGGGAAAUAUUGACCUAAUUUUGAUAGAAAAUCUUACAGACACACAUGUUACACACAUGGAGAACUACCAUUUUUAGUUUUUCAGUUCCUCCUGGGGGGCUCUAAAGAACUGUUUGUGAA